ACACUCCUACGGGAGGCAGCAGUGGGGAAUAUUGGACAAUGGGCGCAAGCCUGAUCCAGCCAUGCCGCGUGAGUGAUGAAGGCCCUAGGGUUGUAAAGCUCUUUCACCGGAGAAGAUAAUGACGGUAUCCGGAGAAGAAGCCCCGGCUAACUUCGUGCCAGCAGCCGCGGUAAUACGAAGGGGGCUAGCGUUGUUCGGAAUUACUGGGCGUAAAGCGCACGUAGGCGGAUCGAUCAGUCAGGGGUGAAAUCCCGGGGCUCAACCCUGGAACUGCCUUUGAUACUGUCGAUCUGGAGUAUGGAAGAGGUGAGUGGAAUUCCGAGUGUAGAGGUGAAAUUCGUAGAUAUUCGGAGGAACACCAGUGGCGAAGGCGGCUCACUGGUCCAUUACUGACGCUGAGGUGCGAAAGCGUGGGGAGCAAACAGGAUUAGAAACCCUAGUAGUCCCAUG
rnacentral:rRNA from 1 species